rnacentral:lncRNA from 1 species
CACCGUCGCUCACCCAUCAUCACCGAACCCACAAAAUGAUGAUGGUGACUAGCCAACAAGGCUCAGCGACCACACACAAGACAACCAAACCACGUCGGAAGAAAUCCGAACCGAAACCACGUUCUUUCGGCGAUUUCGCCGAAAAACGCACCGAAUCGACUCUUCGAUUUCCACAAAAGCUAACGGAUCAUGGGCAAUCAGUCCAGAGGUCAAACACACUCAUACACACUGUCCACAGUA